rnacentral:rRNA from 1 species
AGAUUGAACGCUGGCGGCAUGCCUAACACAUGCAAGUCGAACGGGAGUAGCAAUACUCUAGUGGCGGACGGGUGAGGAAUACGUAGGAAUUUGCCCUUAAGUGGGGGAUAACCCGGGGAAACCCGGAUUAAUACCGCAUGACCUCGAAAGAGCAAAGUGGGGGAUCGCAAGACCUCACGCUUUUGGAGAAGCCUACGUCGGAUUAGCUAGUUGGUGAGGUAAUGGCUCACCAAGGCGACGAUCCGUAACUGGUCUGAGAGGAUGAUCAGUCACACCGGAACUGAGACACGGUCCGGACUCCUACGGGAGCAGCAGUGGGAAUAUGACAAUGGGCGCAAGCCUGAUCCAAGCAAUGCCGCGUGUGGUAGAAGGAACGGUCCUUCGGGUUAGUAAAGACGUAACGUUUAAGUUAGGGAAAGUAAAAAACGUCGACUACUAAC